CUGCAGCCCGAGUGGUGAUCGAUUUUAUUGAGCCUAAAGCGUCCGUAGCCGGACUAGUAAACCCUUGGGUGAAUUGGGCAGCUUAACUGUCCAAAUUCCGAGGGGACUGCUAGUCUUGGGACCGGGAGAGGUCAGAGGUACUCAAGGGGUAGGGGCUAAAUCCUGUAAUCCUUUGGGGACCACCAGUGGCGAAGGCGUCUGACUAGAACGGAUCCGACGGUAAGGGACGAAACCCUGGGGCGCGAACCGGAUUAGAUACCCGAGUAGUCC
rnacentral:rRNA from 1 species